UACGUAGGCAGCAAGCGUUGUUCGGAAUUACUGGGCGUAAAGAGUGUGUAGGCGGUGCUCUAAGUCUGUCGUGAAAUCUCCCGGCUUAACUGGGAGGGUGCGGCGGAAACUGGAAUGCUAGAGGGUGGGAGAGGAAAGCGGAAUUCCGAGUGUAGAGGUGAAAUUCGUAGAUAUUCGGAAGAACACCAGUGGCGAAGGCGACUUACUGGACACAUAUUGACGCUGAGGUGCGAAAGCGUGGGGAGCAAACAGG
rnacentral:rRNA from 1 species